rnacentral:rRNA from 1 species
ACGAGCGAGUGAUCGUAAGCAAAUCUCAAAAAUAACGUCUCAGUUCGGAUUGUAGUCUGCAACUCGACUACAUGAAGCUGGAAUCGCUAGUAAUCGCGAAUCAGCAUGUCGCGGUGAAUACGUUCCCGGGUCUUGUACACACCGCCCGUCACACCAUGGGAGUUGGUAACGCCCGAAGCCAGUGACCCAACCUUAAGAGGAGGGAGCUGUCGAAGGUGGGACCGAUAACUGGGGUGAAGUCGUAACAAGGUAGC